CCUUGGCCUUAUGCCAUCUUUGCCUAGGAA
rnacentral:piRNA from 1 species